CGAACGACCUUGUCGGCCCCCGCCGAAGCUGCCGCCGGAUUCGUCGUCCACGUCCUCGCCUUCGCAGGAUCUGCACCAUCAGAUCCAAUCUCAGAGCGAUUGGUAAUUUCGAUUUUGAGAUUCCGAAGCUCCACCGCCUCCACCAUCUGCAUCGGUGAGGGAAGCAAGGACCAUCGUCUACUAAGGAUCAAAGUAAUGGUGUGUCGAGCUUAGCAAAUGUCAAAUGCAAGUUGUUGCAUUGGGAGGGGUCAAACUUGGUGGUUGCAGAAGGCCAAAUUGCAUCAAAGGAUCCCAAGUCAAAGGUGCAUCAUGCAACUCUUGGACCUUUGUGUUGGAAAGUAUGGGUGAACCACGUAACAGUCAACGUGCCGUUGUUUCGUUCUACUCGUGAGAUGUAUGAUCUUCAAGAUGCAAUAGGAAGUACAGUUGCAUGGCCUAGUCAAUUCAUUCUUUUGGACUAAAUAUUGGACUAAUUGAUUUACGAUUUGUAGUUAUACUUUUUGGAUGUUUAAAGUCGUAUUUUAGAGAUUAGUGAAUCUUAUGAUUUGGAUACUUUUUUU